rnacentral:rRNA from 1 species
GACGAACGCUGGCGGCGUGCUUAACACAUGCAAGUCGAACGGAAAGGCCCUGCUUUUGUGGGGUGCUCGAGUGGCGAAUGGGUGAGUAACACGUGAGUAACCUGCCCUUGACUUUGGGAUAACUUCAGGAAACUGGGGCUAAUACCGGAUAGGAGCUCCUGCUGCAUGGUGGGGGUUGGAAAGUUUCGGCGGUUGGGGAUGGACUCGCGGCUUAUCAGCUUGUUGGUGGGGUAGUGGCUUACCAAGGCUUUGACGGGUAGCCGGCCUGGGAGGGUGACCGGCCACAUUGGGACUGCGGUACGGCCCAGACUCCUACGGGAGGCAGCAGUGGGAAAUAUUGCACAAUGGGCGGAAGCCUGAUGCAGCAACGCCGCGUGCGGGAUGACGGCCUACGGGUUGUAAACCGCUUUCGCCUGUGACGAAGCGUGAGUGACGGUAAUGGGUAAAGAAGCACCGGCUAACUACGUG